rnacentral:rRNA from 1 species
AGUGAACGCUGGCGGCAGGCCUAACACAUGCAAGUCGAGCGGCAGCGCGGGGGCAACCCUGGCGGCGAGCGGCGGACGGGUGAGGAAUUCGUCGGAAUCUGCCUUUUUGUGGGGGAUAACGUAGGGAAACUUACGCUAAUACCGCAUACGACCUACGGGUGAAAGUGGGGGACCGCAAGGACUCACGCAGAAAGAUGAGCCGACGACCGAUUAGCUAGUUGGUGGGGUAAAGGCCCACCAAGGCGACGAUCGGUAGCUGGUCUGAGAGGAUGGUCAGCCACACUGGGACUGAGACACGGCCCAGACUCCUACGGGAGGCAGCAGUGGGGAAUAUUGGACAAUGGGCGCAAGCCUGAUCCAGCCAUGCCGCGUGUGUGAAGAAGGCCUUCGGGUUGUAAAGCACUUUUGUCCGGAAAGAAAUCUUCCAACUUAAUACGUUGGGAGGAUGACGGUACCGGAAGAAUAAGCACCGGCUAACUUCGUGCCAGCCGCCGCAGUAA